rnacentral:rRNA from 1 species
UUCCGGUUGAUCCUGCCGGACCCGACUGCUAUUGGAGUAGGACUAAGUCACGCUAGUUAAGGGUGCGGAAUGGAGCACCUAGCGCACGGCUCAGUAACACGUAGUCAAUCUACCCUAAGGACGGGUACAACCACGGGAAACUGUGGAUAAUACCCGAUAGGAAAUUUGGCCUGGAACGGUAUCUUUCCGAAAACCGGCUAGCCGUUAGACACGGGCCUUAGGAUGGGGCUGCGGUCGAUUAUGCUAGAUGGCGGUGUAAAGGACCACCAUGGCGACGAUCGAUAUGGGCGAUGGAAGUCGGAGCCCAGAGUCGGCCACUGAGACAAGGGGCCGAGCCUUACGAGGCUUAGCGGUCGCGAAAACUCGCCAAUGCACGAAAGUGUGAGUGGGCUACUCCAAGUGUCAUUCUUACGGAUGACUGUCGCUCAGUAUUACAAGCUGAGAAAGGAAGGAGAGGGCAAGGCUGGUGCCAGCCGCCGCGGUAAAACCAGCUCUUCAAGUGGUCGGGAUAAUUAUUGGGCUUAAAGUGUCCGUAGCCGGUUUAGUAAGUUCCUGGUAAAAUCGGGUAGCUUAACUAUCUGUAUGCUAGGAAUACUGCUAUACUAGAGGGCGGGAGAGGUCUGAGGUACUACAGGGGUAGGGGUGAAAUCUUAUAAUCCUUGUAGGACCACCAGUGGCGAAGGCGUCAGACUGGAACGCGCCUGACGGUGAGGGACGAAAGCCAGGGGAGCGAACCGGAUUAGAUACCCGGGUAGUCCUGGCCGUAAACGAUGCAUACUAGGUGAUGGUACGGCCAUGAGCCAUAUCAGUGCCGUAGAGAAACCGUUAAGUGUGCCGCCUGGGAAGUACGGUCGCAAGGCUAAAACUUAAAGGAAUUGGCGGGGGAGCACCACAAGGGGUGAAGCCUGCGGUUCAAUUGGAGUCAACGCCGGG